AUUCCUGGCUCUGUGAGUUCACUGAAUUGAGCAGAACUCUACAGCACUUUAUUCUCCCCACGCUUUUCCUGCUAUUCAGGACUUGUGUUAGUGGGUAGGUGAAAGUAGCAAUCACUCAGUUAAAUGGGAAAUGAAAAUAUUCUUUAGGAAUUUCUCAGAACCCAGAAUGGAACUUCAUUCUCCUGUGGAGAAGGAAACUCAAAGUUGUCUUAAGUUUCCACUCCAACAGUGAAAGUGCUUAUAAAAACGAAACUCCCACGCUCUACAGACCCCAGAGUUCUGAGCCAAGCCCUGCCCCGCCCCUCUCCUCGCUCCCAGGCCUAGCUUCCUGUCCUCCAGCUGCUUUUCCUGAUAUUGGUAGAGCUUUUUUGUUGGCUGCGCCUCAUGGUAUGUGGUAUCUUAGGUUUGCAACCAGGGAUGAAACCAACUUGAGCUGCGGUGAAAGUGUGGUGUCUUAACCCCAGCACCACCAGGAUUUACAGCCUCAGCGUUGACUCCAGAUUCAGCCCUUGCCAUCUUGCUCCCCACCUUGAGAGCAGCAGCACCAAAAAUAGCAGCAUGAGUCACUGAAGCAUCGGGCAUCGUCGUCAAGGGCCAGGACGCCUGCUGCGGUGGAGCUUCUGCUUGAUUUCCAGGGACCUGGGGAAGGGAACCCUGGCCAGCUGGCCCCCAUCACUGCCUCCUGGACCCUGGGGGAGAGCUGAGUUCACUAAGAAAUUUGAAGCCUGAACUGGUGGAAAUGUUAAUGUUCAGAAUGGCUUUACCAUGACACUGCAUAAGGACCUCAGGGUCCCUCAUUUGCACCCCUUCUAAAGUUCUAUACUUUUUUUUUUUUACACUGUAUUUUAUUUUUCUUUUCUGAAAGAGGGCUCUCAAAGUUUUAUGUUUCAGACAAAGGAUACGAGAGCAGAGAAAAGCCUUCCUUGGGUUCCUGGAAAAUUCCAGGUUUGUUUCAGCCUCAGGGCCUUUGCAGUUCCUAUUGCCCUGUCUUGAACUCUGUCCCUGGCUUGGGGCUUUUACUAAGCAACAACUGCUGGGCCCUCCUUCCCUGCCUCCCUGGUAACUACUCUUUAUCUUUACUUUUUGUUUUCUUUAUGUAGCAUUCACCACUCCAGAAUUAUCUUCAUUUGUGCAUCUACUUCUUUAACAAAUGCUUAUGGUACAUAUUCUGCCAUCAGGCACUGUUGUCAGCUUUAUAAAUAUGAAAUCAUUCAGUCCUCACUACUCUGACACUGAAACUUGUCCAUCCACACUUUAAAAUGAAAGCAACUGAAGCAUGGAGAGGUUAAGCAGAUUGCCAAAAGUCACACAGCUGGUGAGUUACAGUACCACCUGUCUCCCCCACUGGAAGACAAGGUUCACCUGUGCAGAGCCUGUAGCUGA
ensembl:lncRNA